AGUGAACGCUGGCGGUAGGCCUAACACAUGCAAGUCGAACGGCAGCACAGUAAGAGCUUGCUCUUACGGGUGGCGAGUGGCGGACGGGUGAGGAAUACAUCGGAAUCUACUUUUUCGUGGGGGAUAACGUAGGGAAACUUACGCUAAUACCGCAUACGACCUACGGGUGAAAGCAGGGGAUCUUCGGACCUUGCGCGAUUGAAUGAGCCGAUGUCGGAUUAGCUAGUUGGCGGGGUAAAGGCCCACCAAGGCGACGAUCCGUAGCUGGUCUGAGAGGAUGAUCAGCCACACUGGAACUGAGACACGGUCCAGACUCCUACGGGAGGCAGCAGUGGGGAAUAUUGGACAAUGGGCGCAAGCCUGAGCCAGCCAUACCGCGUGGGUGAAGAAGGCCUUCGGGUUGUAAAGCCCUUUUGUUGGGAAAGAAAAGCAGCAGGUUAAUACCCAGCUGUUCUGACGGUACCCAAAUAAUAAGCAACGGCUAACUUCGUG
rnacentral:rRNA from 1 species